rnacentral:rRNA from 1 species
UACAAGGAAUUGACGGGGAGCACUACGAACGGGUGGAGCCUGCGGUUUAAUUGGAUUCAACGCCGGAAUCUCGACCGGGGGCGACAGCAAUAUGAAGGUCAGGCUGAAGACCUUACCGGAUUAGCUGAGAGGUGGUGCAUGGCCGUCGUCAGUUCGUACUGUGAAGCAUCCUGUUAAGUCAGGCAACGAGCGAGACCCACGUCCACAGUUGCCAGCAUACCCUCCGGGGUGAUGGGUACACUGUGGAGACCGCCGCUGCUAAAGCGGAGGAAGGAAUGGGCAACGGUAGGUCAGUAUGCCCCGAAUCUCCCGGGCUACACGCGGGCUACAAUGGUUGGUACAAUGGGCAUCUACCCCGAAAGGGGAAGGAAAUCUCUUAAAGCCAAUCGUAGUUCGGAUUGAGGGCUGCAACUCGCCCUCAUGAAGCUGGAAUCCGUAGUAAUCGCGUUUCAACAGAACGCGGUGAAUACGUCCCUGCUCCUU